rnacentral:hammerhead_ribozyme from 17 species
CAAGCGUCUGGGGUAAGGAGUCGCUGCCAUCAGCCCCACUGAUGAGUUUUUAGGCAGUGUGACUCCGAGACGAAACGCAAA